ACUCCUACGGGAGGCAGCAGUGGGAAUAUUGCACAAUGGGCGAAAGCCUGACGCAGCAACGCCGCGUGUGGGAAGACGGCUCUAGGGUUGUAAACCACUUUCAGUAGGGACGAAAUUGACGGUACCUACAGAAGAAGCGCCGGCCAACUACGUGCCAGCAGCCGCGGUAAUACGGGGUGGCAAGCGUUAAUCGGAGUUAUUGGGCGUAAAGGGUGCGUAGGUUGUUAUUUAAGUCAUGUGGGAAAUACCUGGGCUCAACCUGGGAAUGACGGAUGAUACUGAAUGACUAGAGUAUAGUAGAGGGUAGUGGAAUUUCCGGUGUAGCGGUGAAAUGCGUAGAGAUCGGAAGGAACACCAGUGGCGAAGGCGGCUACCUGGACUAAUACUGACACUGAGGCACGAAAGCGUGGGUAGCAAACAGGAUUAGAUACCCUGGUAGGUC
rnacentral:rRNA from 1 species